GAUGAAGAACGUAGCGAAAUGCGAUAAGUAGUGUGAAUUGCAGAAUUCAGUGAAUCAUCGAAUCUUUGAACGCACAUUGCGCCCGCCAGUAUUCUGGCGAGCAUGCCUGUUCGAGCGUCAUUUCAACCAUCAAGCCCCAGGCUUGUGUUGGAGCCCUGCGGCUGCCGCAGCCUCCCAAAACCAGUGGCGGGCUCGCUAUCACACCGAGUGCAGUAGUUUACUCUUCGCUCAGGGCGUGUGGCGGGUGCUAGCCGUGAAACCCCCAACUUCUCAAGGUUGACCUCGGAUCAGGUAGGAAUACCCGCUGAACUUAAGCAUAUCAAUAAGCGGAGGA
rnacentral:misc_RNA from 1 species